GCCCCGCCCCUCUCGAGCUGCAUCUGCGGGAGCGGCCUGGGGGGGUCGCGGUGUUCGGUAGCGUUGUGUGUUGCCUUGGUGCAGGAGUCCCGCCGUAUGCGGCCGAAAGGAGCGCUGGCCCGUUUGUGCUCGAUGUCUUGCCAGCCCUUCGGCAAGGCUGCGCGCGUUCGUUCCUUCUCUGAUCGCACCUAUGUCCUGAGUUGUGCAGACAACGCUGAUUUUGGGCAGGCCCACACGUUCGCCCUGAGAGGGACCACGCAGGAAAACGCAAGGCAGAACCCCCCAGGGGGUGCCAGACUGCAGGGUGUUAAUCCCACAGCAUUGCGUACUUGCAGUGCUGAUGUUCCAUAGGCCUCAGGAGGCGUACAUGGCGAUGGCCAGUUGGGCUACAAAGCGGUGUUGAGUAAAGAAUGUGAGAAGGAAGCUGGGAGAACAAACACGCAGACAGUGGGGUUGGGAAGAGCAUAUCCUGGUCCUGCUGCCUUCAGGGAAGCACUUCUAACGGGCAGAAGCUUCUCAGAGAAAGGUGGUAGGGCUGCACGGCCAGGGCGGUGCUGCUGGACUCCCUGCCUGCCUCGAGGAAGGCAGCAGAGCCCUACCAUCUUUAUUCCUGAUAGAGUAGACUACUUCCAGGCUGCACAAGCUGAAUGCAUAAUAGCUAUGCGUUUAUGGCUGUAAUUGCUGAUAUCGGAUGGGCUGACUCAUGCACGUUUGAAUUCUUACUGCAGAAGGAACUAUUCUAUCUGCAUGCAUAUUGAAGAAAAGGAAUCAAAACACCAUUUCAAGGCUUUAAGGUGGACUGCUUCGAAUUAGGUUUCAUCUGAAGUCGGUGGUUGUAUGUGGAGAACUGUCAACAGUCCCAAACCCAAAAAACAAGAGCAGACAGAACUCCUACUCUUCUUCCUGAAAAAACAACAACAAGAACAAAUGAGCAACAUUAUGAGGGCAGGCGUAAUUGUGUGCCGUGCCUGAGACAGAGUGAGUCCAUGCUACGGGGAGAAUCAGUGGUGGACAAGACCAGGAUGAAUACAUCUGAAACCAUGAGCAGUUGUAGCUACCUCAUUUUGCUGUUGCAGAACAUUUAAGGUCUUAAAGUGCAUGGAAGAUGGCUGUGAAGAUUACAUGUUUGAGCGAGGUGGCCUUUGCACCCUUCUUUGCAGGCAUGCACCAGAGUACCUAGAAGGCAGUCAAGCCCAUCAGAAGAAAAUUACCUGCUUCAGAGAAACAGAUAGAAAAGUAAUGACAGCAUUGAGAAACUUGGAGCUUGUGCUUUCUUUUUUUCUUCUUUCUUUCUUCCUUUCUUUCUUUCUUUUUUUUUUUUUAAUCUGGUCUUGGGUAAACAUUUCUGCCAUAUUACAUUUCCAGCGUGCUCAGAAAA